UGCCUAACACAUGCAAGUCGUACGAGAGUUUUUAACUCAAGUGGCGGACGGGUGAGUAACACGUGAGAAUUUGCCUUUAGGAGGGGGAUAACAGAGUGAAAACGCUGCUAAUACCCCAUAUGCUUUCGAGUGAAAUGGAUUUAUUCGCCUAAAGAGAAGCUCGCGGCUGAUUAGCUUGUUGGUAAGGUAAUGGCUUACCAAGGCGACGAUCAGUAUCUGGUUUGAGAGGACGAUCAGACACACUGGAACUGAGACACGGUCCAGACUCCUACGGGAGGCAGCAGUGGGGAAUUUUCCGCAAUGGGCGAAAGCCUGACGGAGCAAUACCGCGUGAGGGAAGACGGCCUAUGGGUUGUAAACCUCUUUUCUCAGGGAGGAAAUCAAUGACGUUACCUGAGGAAUAAGCAUCGGCUAACUCCGUGCCAGCAGCCGCGGUAAGACGGAGGAUGCAAGUGUUAUCCGGAAUCACUGGGCGUAAAGCGUCUGUAGGUGGCUUAACAAGUCAACUGUUAAAUCUUGAAGCUCAACUUCGAAAUCGCAGUCGAAACUGUUAGGCUAGAGUAUAGUAGGGGUAAAGGGAAUUUCCAGUGGAGCGGUGAAAUGCGUAGAGAUUGGAAAGAACACCGAUGGCGAAGGCACUUUACUGGGCUAUUACUGACACUCAGAGACGAAAGCUAGGGUAGCAAAUGGGAUUAGAUACCC
rnacentral:rRNA from 1 species